rnacentral:lncRNA from 1 species
UGGGAGUGGAGUUUUAUUAGUUCUACUAUUUGUUUGGUACUCACUGCAGCCAGCAGAGUUUGGUCUUUGAUUAAUUAGACCGUCAUUUUCUACAAGGGAUCAUGUAGAACGCAGCGGAAGUAUUCGUUCGUACUUUUUUGCGGAAGCGAUUCGCGCUAGAACGCGACGAGCCCGGAUCGUAGAGGUUGAUUCACGUAUCCUUGGAUCGUCCUUGAAAAUCUUCUAUCGCUCCAAACUCGCGGUGGAUCGAACUACAAAUGAGCACGAUCUCCAAUCCACCGUUCAAGACCCUCUACUUAAACCCGGCAUUUCUUCAUAGCUCCAGGCGAAACAAUCUUUGUACUCCUUCAAUAGCUUCUUUAAUUCUUCCUAUU